UACGUAGGGUGCAAGCGUUAAUCGGAAUUACUGGGCGUAAAGCGUGCGCAGGCGGUAAUGUAAGUCAGUUGUGAAAUCCCCGGGCUCAACCUGGGAACUGCAUCUGUGACUGCAUUGCUGGAGUGCGGCAGAGGGGGAUGGAAUUCCGCGUGUAGCAGUGAAAUGCGUAGAUAUGCGGAGGAACACCGAUGGCGAAGGCAAUCCCCUGGGCCUGCACUGACGCUCAUGCACGAAAGCGUGGGGAGCAAACAGG
rnacentral:rRNA from 1 species